UACAGAGGGUGCAAGCGUUAAUCGGAAUUACUGGGCGUAAAGCGUGCGUAGGUGGUUUUUUAAGUCAGGUGUGAAAUCCCUGGGCUCAACCUGGGAACUGCAUUUGAUACUGGAAAGCUAGAGUGUGGUAGAGGAUGGUGGAAUUCCCGGUGUAGCGGUGAAAUGCGUAGAUAUCGGGAGGAACAUCAGUGGUGAAGGCGGCCAUCUGGACCAACACUGACACUGAGGCACAAAAGCGUGGGGAGCAAACAGG
rnacentral:rRNA from 1 species